CAAAAAGCCUUCCUUUCCCUACCUCAGCUGAAAAUCCUUCCCCUCCCCAUCCCAGCGCCAGCCGUGGCCGUGCUGCGCCUGUCGUGCCGUGCAGGAGCCUUGAGCAUCUUUUGCAAAGAGCGUUUCUCACCUGCUUGAAGAAGAUGCUGAGGCGUACUGUAAACAGGAGGCUCCAUGGCUAAGGAGGACCUCGUGUUUAUUGCUGAAGUUGGAGUCGUUUCUGAUCUGUUUUCCAGCACUUUGCAACACCAUUUUAUCAGAGGCUGGAAGUCCCAUAUGUCAGUUUUCCUCACUUUUUUACUCCUCUGAACAGUGCCACAGGCACUUUACAGUUUAACCGCAGGCAGCCCUCCUUUCGGGCGCUCUCCCUAACCCGGGGGCAUCUCCCGGAGCCCCUGCCCACCAGGACGACUCUCUCGCAACGCCCCCGGCUGAAUGACCCGCAUCAAAUCAACCCUAUCGACAGAGGCACAGCUUCCCAAACCUCCCCCCGCCUCCGCAGAAGCCUCACCUACACCUCUGGCAGCGUGUGGGGGCUGGUUUGUUUUUGGUUUUUUUUGGUUU